GCAGCUGCCCUCCUCCUGCUUGCUCUGACGUUUCUUCCCACUGAUUGGUUUCUUGAAGCCGAACGCUUCUCCUGAAUGAAAAAUCGCAAGGGUUGGGCAAAAGGGGCAAAUCCAUAUAGGAGGAUUCUACGGAGAUCCCCCCCCCCAUGCAAUCCAAGGGGGGCACAACAGAAAUUGAAAGGGACCUUUCAGGGAAUGGCUUCGGGCUUUUCACAGAACAUUGCUAAGGUCAAAACAUGUCAUCGCAUAUAUAAACACAAUGAAAAA